rnacentral:rRNA from 1 species
CCUACGGGUGGCAGCAGUAGGGAAUAUUGCUCAAUGGGGGAAACCCUGAAGCAGCAACGCCGCGUGGAGGAUGAAGGUUUUCGGAUUGUAAACUUCUUUUCUGAGGGACGAAGAAAGUGACGGUACCUCAGGAAUAAGCCACGGCGAACUACGUGCCAGCAGCCGCGGUAAGACGUAGGUGGCAAGCGUUAUCCGGAUUUAUUGGGUGUAAAGGGCGUGUAGGCGGGAAAGCAAGUCAGAUGUGAAAACUCAGGGCCCAACCCUGAGCCUGCAUUUGAAACUGUUUUUCUUGAGUGCUGGAGAGGCAAUCGGAAUUCCGUGUGUAGCGGUGAAAUGCGUAGAUAUACGGAGGAACACCAGUGGCGAAGGCGGAUUGCUGGCCAGUAACUGACGCUGAGGCGCGAAAGCGUGGGGAGCAAACAGGAUUAGAUACCCGAGUAGUC